UCCCACUCCAUUUCUGAUUUAUUUUAAUUAUUUUUAAUUUUCUUUCUCUUAAUUAGGGCUGUGAAUCCCCUCUUUGGGAACCUGGAACUUCCAAUGCCUGAAGGAAAACUAUUUACAUGAAAGAAAGCUAUUGGGGAUUGAUCAAGAACCAUGACUGAUCAGAUGGUCAUAUCACUGUCUGGGAUUUAUUACAAUGACUUGCUCUGAGUGGCAGAUCCAGUCUGAGAGGGAGCCAAGUGUCCUGAGAAGAAGUCGGGGUUCAGAAUCUGGAGUGUGGAGCUGUAGUAAACCCAUUCCAGAUGCCUUUGGAUUUCAGUGGCAGACGAAAAUUGAUACCAGCACACUUGUUCAUUGA
rnacentral:lncRNA from 1 species